AUGGCGUAUGAAACUGUACACCAGGCUACGGCUUUGACAAUUGUUUUCUACAGCCUACGGCAAGCCUAUAUGCAAUCCCUGAAACAUGCACCUGUGAGAUUACAACUUCUCUGGCUCCUACAGAAUGAUAAAGACUCAUGUGAUGGCCCUGAAUCCUGACUUAAACAUGUCCCCUACGGUAUUAUCACCCUACAAUGCAUGUCUCUCGGAAACUAAUCCCCUGCAGAUUCCCGAAGCCAAUCUUUACUGAACAACAGGCUCUCAAAACCGCAGGCUCCUAGCACCACCUACAGACCCCGUAAACCCUUGCACCCCCAGGGAUCUCCUGAUCAAACCGUAAGCCUGAUCCGAGUAGAUGAUUAAGCUGCUUGUAAGCUCUCUGCUAGUCACCUCCAAGCACCUGGACACGUGGCACUUUCUCCUGCACCUUGUCACCCCUGAAAAACUGGACUGACCUCCAUCUGUCCCAUAAUAGCUUGUCCUUCUCAUCUAUCUAGCUACUAGAUUAGCCCAUUCAACAUCCUAAGCAGCCACCUCAGACAAUAUAAAUAAAGAAGAGAAGAACUCCAGGAGGGGGGGACGAAAAAAAUAUAAAAGAAAAGGACUGUGAUAGCUACGGAAUGAGGCGGAAUUCCGCAGGCCAUCAGUUGGCGCCGCCGCCGGGGAUCGAGUAUUGUUCCCCGAGAUGUUAUUUACUGCUAUAUUACGAUGACCUAACUCAUAUGUAGACGGUCUCUCUCUGGUUUACAGCUGCGAGAAGGGUCUGUUGAACUCAAACUAUUAAUAGAACUCGCGUCGACGUGGAUGCUUAGCCUCACUAGUGUUUAGUUCUUCUUCACCUUGCCAGGUAUUACUCUUACGACUUGAUCUUACUAGCCAUACAUCAACGAGCAUGUAGUUAUAUUUGUUAAAAUUCUAAGAAUAAGAUGGAAUAUUGCUUAACAAUAAACAAUAACUAUCUCCAAACUAAUGAUGAUAUUUUACUCCAUAUUCAAUACUGUUUUUUCCCUAUAGUUAGUGAUAGAUUUGUUGGAAAGUGGAAACAUGAUAAACUUUGCAACUAUAUAUUCUUUUAUCUUUCAAAGACUCAAUAUAUAUAAAUAGUGUAUAACACACGCUUGUUUAUAUAUUAAUAAUAUCAAAGCUACAGCUUUUGUUUUCUCACCUAGAGGCUACGGCUUUUCUCUUACAACUUUAGAGCUUUGGCUCUUUCUCUUAACUAACACUCUGUAUAUUAUUUUCUUGGUUAUUUUACAAAUAAAACAAAGCAUCUUAUUUAUAAGUUACAGAUUUACCAUGUUACAGUAUGGCACACUUCAUUACAUAAUUAACAUAGCCUUCUUUAAUGCCAUCUUUACCUUGUCAUGCGGCGUACCUUUUAUUUAGGGUUCAAACUUGACUGUUGACAUGUGCUGUAGAUUUAGAGUGACAGCUUCUUCAAUAAUAACACACGUAGUUGGCCAUGCACCACCUUAUACAUAAUAUUAUGGCACACCUUAUUUUCUGGGUAUACCUCCUGGAUGACUGCUCUCGUUUUCUUUUUCAUGUUACUACAUUUGUAAACUCGACUGUAACUAUUAAUUCUUCAGAGUUUUGAAUUCUAACAAGAUUAACCAGUAUAUAUCAUUCUACUGUCCUUUGCUUAUAGCUAGGAGCGUAAUUUUUGGUAUUAUAUUAUCAAGCAGUUUCUUUGGUUGUAAUUGCUUGCCCACAGACCAUGCGCUUUUUAUUUUAUUUACCAUACUUACAAUUUUAACAUACUUUCUGGCUUUUGAUCUAAGAAAUGCAUCAACACUUCUUGCUUAUUUUGUCUUCGACUAGAGCCGGAAAGUAGUCACCAGCAUCUUACAACUCCUUGUUUCUCCUCCCUGAUAUGAUCUCAAACAAUAGCUUUCCGCAGCUAGAGACAUCUACUUUUGUAAUAAUAACCUCACCUGAAAUUCAUUCCGAUGCGAGAUAUCCUCUUGUUCACUUAUUGUUCUACGCAAAAUCUUUUAAGAUGGACAAAGUUGAUAUAUUAUGCUCAAUUGUACGUGCUCACUUCUACGCGAGCUCCUCCCCCUUGCCUCAGAUUCCUUAGAACUUUAACUGUUAUAGCUCUGGAAUCUAGCAGAGUACCCGCAAGUAUUGAGCUAAUACUGUCCUCACCCAGUUUUUUGUUUUUUUAGAAUCCUUGGUCAAUUUUUAACGUAUCUAAAAACUCCCAUUAUAACCCAAACACUCAUCUUGCCAGCCUUUUGUAAUCCUUUCACACGAACGUGAAAAACUCUUUCUCUAUUGUCACCCAAACUAGUGGUUGGAUAUUAUACACAUCUCCAUCCCAAACCAUGCGUUGUUUGCCACCUUCGCUAUUCCACAUUAGCAGGGUAGGUGACAACACAAAGGCGCAGCCAGGAGGGUGAACUGGAGAGUAGGGGGCAAUUGUGGCUACGGAAUUCUCUCGCACAUGGCGAUACGUCAAGCUAGGGGGUUUGAGAGCGUAGGUCCGUAAGCUCGGAAGAACAGGAACGCGAAGUGGUUUUGGGUGAGGCGUGCACUCGUAGGCAGGUCUUCCGGAGCUACAUCACUGCGAAUUUGUUACGUAUUCUAAGACGACUAGCAGGGGGGGUCCCACAAAGAUUGGGCGGAGGGAGCCUUCGGUGUAUAAACAUUUAAUCCGUAAUCCAUCACUUGCAUUCUUCAUCACCACUCUUUACGCCUUGAGAAUGUGACUCUCCUCUGUGUCUUGGGUUGAAAACCACAUUGCCUUUAAAAAUAAAAACGUGCCUUCUACUUCCCUUACAUCACUACAAUGCAGGGUUGAUAUCCUAGAAUAGUACACCCAUCAGUAUAAUCUCCCAACGGCCAAGUCUCGUUUCACUGCUAUUUGCUUACUUUCAGCUGCAGGAUACAUCUAUCCAUUAGAAGCUAAAAGCCACUUUACCUAAAUACAAUCAUAUCUAAGCUUAUGUGUCUUGCGCUCUAUUUCCGUUAGUAAUUGAUGUUUAUUAUAUAGAUACGUAUAUAGUCUUCUUAUAUUAUUUAUACCAAAUAAUAAUGCUUUGUGUACACAUUAUUUACGACGCAUGCAUGCAUUGUCAUUAAACAUAAUUUACCUUUAUAAAAUACAUUUGUUUGUCAUAAUGCGCCCCACACAAAUUUUUACACUUUCCUUCUAUAACACAAGUCUUUAUUAUAUACUUCCUAAUUACCGACGGCACGAUAAUGCCUAUAUUUACUUAUUUAUUAUUUUUACAUCCUGUUUUCAUUGCCAUUAUUGACUUUCUUGCAAUUAUGAUAUGCCAUUUCACCUUUUGUUCCCGCUAAUUAAGCACAUGUCUUGUUAAUUAAACAUUUGUUACUUCGCAGCAUUUUUAUAUUGUGUUGCUUACAUUUAUUUUAUUUCACAUAUAAAAUUAUCUCGUAUCUUUUCUGACUGUGAGCGCGCUUUGUUAACAUUAGAGAUCAUUUACCCUCCUUGAUUAUUACGCUUUGAUUAUGUCACUACAUAGCGUUCUUAAACUAGUUUACAUAAUGUUUUAUAUAAUUAAGUUUAUUAGCUGCCGCUUGGUAUUAAAAUUAUUAAUGUCACGCAUAUACAUUUAAUUCAUCCAAUUGUAUAGCUCUUAUAUCACUUGCUUGCUAUAAUAUAUUUCUUGUAUCAUAUUAUUUUUGAUAUACAUUUAUUUGCAUAAACUAUACUAUGAGCAUCCUACGCCAAUAAAAGUAGCAAUAACUGCUACGGCUACGGAGCACUACAUCCUACGCCAAUAAAAGUAGCAAUAACUGCUACGGCUACGGAUCACUACAUCCUACGCCAAUAUAAGUAGCAAUAACUGCUACGGCUACGGAUCACUACAUCCUACGCCAAUAUAAGUAGCAAUAACUGCUACGGCUACGGAUCACUACAUCCUACGCCAAUAUAAGUAGCAAUAACUGCUACGGCUACGGAUCACUACAUCCUACGCCAAUAUAAGUAGCAAUAACUGCUACGGCUACGGAUCACCUAAAGUCCUACGGGCAAUAUAUCCAACAUAUGUAGCAUAAAAACUAUUGCUACGGCUGCGGAUCACCUAAAAUACAAGGGGCACAUAUGCCAACAUAUGUAGCACCUGACCUGACUAAUAAUUUAUAGUGAAAAAUGUAGUUAAAAUUUGAGUUGUGAGAUAUUUAAUCCUCUUUGCUUAACCAUAUACUUUGAUUGUAGUUGGUUUCUUGUUUUUCACUUUGUAUUACAAGUGAAUCGUAUACUCUCUAGCAACAUCUUAUGCACGUCUUGUUCGAGUGAUUGUCUAUAGGUACUACAUUCUACGUAUAUGGAUAUCACAUGAAUGCUGCAUAAUCAUAUGCAUUUCUUUUCUUCUUUUACUAACUAGCUUGACCAACGUCUGAUUGAGCAACACUCACAACUCUUAUUCACUGAUUUUCUCUUCAUUAUAUUGCGUUUGCCUAACGUAGGCAUAUCAUAUGAAGCUCUUGCUGAAACACAUUUUUAAUCAAUGAGACCUAUUUUCAUUACGCAUUCGUUGAUGUGUUGACAGUGGGGCAUUAAUAAUUCUGCAUGACUCAUCUCCUUGUCAUUUUUGCUUAUUGUCUUGAUUUAUUCCUGUGUUGUUUUUCUUCACUUAUUCCUAUUCUGUAUAGCAUUUUGAUGAUCUUUACGGAGCCCAUGCACACCUUAGUGUUUUUAAAUGUCAUUAUUUUUAUGAUUCAUAGUAUAAUAUAAUGUGUACAACACUUAUGGGUUCCUUAAAUCUUUUUAUGUGUCACACUCAAGCUGUUUUAAUUUAAAAAUAAGCCGUAUUUAUACAACAUGUGACAUAUAAUGCUACUGCAUGUAAUUAUAAUUAUUGUGAUUCUUAUAAACAACAUAUUAGAUGUCUAUCUUAUUUUUAUUCUACAACUAUUUUAUAUCUCUUAUACAACUAUUCUAUAUCUCUUGUUUAUGUUACACUGUUAGCAUACAUUUUGUGUUUCUAAUUUUGUUUUUAUAUUCGUUAAUAUAUAUAUUUCAUAAAUCACAUUCUUAUAUAAGAGUACUCAUUCUUAUAUGACACUAUUCGCAAUUUAAUUUAUUGAUUUUAUAAUUUAUAUCGUUACUCUUAUUAUAUAUAUAAAAAAAAAGAGUUUGUGGGGCUCUCUCUCUCCACAAAUUCUGUCUCACCCUCAUCACAGCUUAAACCUGCAGACCUUCGAGGUGAUCCAAAAAACUUAAAGACCUUAUAUUUUUGCAUGUACUCACCCAUGUCAACUCUUAUCAUGGCAUCUUUAGUCCCAUAAUACUCCCGAGCUACUAAUUUUACAAGCUCAGUCUUGCUAACUCUUGUAGGUAUGGUGAAUAAAAAACUUGACAUAGGACGAUCCGGAUCCCUAAUCCCAGCUUUAACCCUGCGUAUAGCUCAGGUAACAUGUACACAUGAUCAUAUUGGGUCGUAGAGUUUUUUUUUUUCCCUUGUUUAAAAAGCUUAAAUGCCUCGUUCUGCCAUAUCUUUCCUACAAGGAUCCUAGCCCACGAUGAGAGACCAAGGACUAUAUUUACUUGUUUUCGGUUAUUACAAACAUAUUGCCGAUUACUCUUUGCUCCCUUUUAUGGUUCCUGAAAACUGCACAUCUACGGCUACAUCCCCAAAGUGUAUUUGGACCCUACAGCCUACAAAAAUUACAGCCCUGCUGGGCAUGAGUGCUGCAAUUACGGUGCAUUAGAAUGUUUGGGGAGGUUACCCAACCAACGAGUUAGGUACAUGGCGGACAAAUGGUGUCUACACUUCCGAGUAUAUGAGUAUUUGAAUCCUACCGCCUACAAAAACAAUACAACGACGUUAUGUAUGAGUACUGCAGUUCCAUUUUACAGUACAUAAUGUUAGAGCUGGUUACCCAAUUAACAAAUGUUAAGUACAUGACCGACAAAUGAUCUACGCUUCCGAGUAUAUGAAGCUUCCUAAAGAAAGCUUAUAUACUCAAGGGGCAUCUGAUGGCGUAUGAAACUGUACACCAGGCUACGGCUUUGACAAUUGUUUUCUACAGCCUACGGCAAGCCUAUAUGCAAUCCCUGAAACAUGCACCUGUGAGAUUACAACUUCUCUGGCUCCUACAGAAUGAUAAAGACUCAUGUGAUGGCCCUGAAUCCUGACUUAAACAUGUCCCCUACGGUAUUAUCACCCUACAAUGCAUGUCUCUCGGAAACUAAUCCCCUGCAGAUUCCCGAAGCC
rnacentral:lncRNA from 1 species